ACUUCCGGUAUUCUCAUGUUUAUAAGGCUGUAGGGUCAAAUUAACUUUCUAUUCACACACGUUUCUCUCCACCUAAAGAUGUUCCUAGGUUCUAGUAAGUGUAGGUCUAAUAGGCACUGCUAUGGAAGAUUUCACACACGAGUAGAUAUAACUGCACGAAAUGUCUGGAUCUAGAAAAUGCUAGGCCUACGCAAAACAGACUUGAUACAAAUGAAAAGAAUUAGAUCAAGUCUUGAAUUUUUCAUUACACCGCCAUUAAUAUUGGCAGCGUUUGCUCCACGGGCACGUGACGUGUAAAUAACUUCAUCAAUUAUUCAAGAUUAAGAAUGAUCAUACAGCAGUACUACACCUAAAAUUAAAAAGAGAUGGAUCAUUGAAGAAAGCUGAUGCUCAAGUCAAGUGAUCUUGAUGCUGGAAAUUAUAAUGGAUGGCUACAAGCUUAAACAUUUACAAGUGCUACACAUGAAAGUUUUUACUACACAAGGCCUAUAAUCUAUAUGUAAAUCCAGACAAGGCCAUUCAUAGUGACAUGAUAGUAUCCUGAAUUGUUCUAUAGGCUUGUUGAUAAGGUAUUGUGGAUGCAUUUUUAAUGAGCAGUUCAUUAAUUUUACACUAUCGAACAAGAGCUGACAUAUUAAAGGGUUUAACAGAUGCAGAGCUAAUUACAGAUUUCAAGUUUUUUGUUUUUUUUUUGGUUGACAUAAUAAAUACCAUAAUUGAAUAUUA